rnacentral:rRNA from 1 species
AAUAGAUACCCUGGUAGUCCACGCCGUAAACGAUGUCGACUUGGAGGUUGUUCCCUUGAGGAGUGGCUUCCGGAGCUAACGCGUUAAGUCGACCGCCUGGGGAGUACGGCCGCAAGGUUAAAACUCAAAUGAAUUGACGGGGGCCCGCACAAGCGGUGGAGCAUGUGGUUUAAUUCGAUGCAACGCGAAGAACCUUACCUACUCUUGACAUCCACGGAACUUUUCAGAGAUGAAUUGGUGCCUUCGGGAACCGUGAGACAGGUGCUGCAUGGCUGUCGUCAGCUCGUGUUGUGAAAUGUUGGGUUAAGUCCCGCAACGAGCGCAACCCUUAUCCUUUGUUGCCAGCGGUUCGGCCGGGAACUCAAAGGAGACUGCCAGUGAUAAACUGGAGGAAGGUGGGGAUGACGUCAAGUCAUCAUGGCCCUUACGAGUAGGGCUACACACGUGCUACAAUGGCGCAUACAAAGAGAAGCGACCUCGCGAGAGCAAGCGGACCUCAUAAAGUGCGUCGUAGUCCGGAUUGGAGU